ACGAACGCUGGCGGCGUGCUUAACACAUGCAAGUCGAACGGAAAGGCCCUGCUUGCAGGGUACUCGAGUGGCGAACGGGUGAGUAACACGUGGGUGAUCUGCCCUGCACUUCGGGAUAAGCCUGGGAAACUGGGUCUAAUACCGGAUAGGAGCCAUUUUUAGUGUGAUGGUUGGAAAGUUUUUUCGGUGUAGGAUGAGCUCGCGGCCUAUCAGCUUGUUGGUGGGGUAAUGGCCUACCAAGGCGGCGACGGGUAGCCGGCCUGAGAGGGUGGACGGCCACAUUGGGACUGAGAUACGGCCCAGACUCCUACGGGAGGCAGCGGUGGGGAAUAUUGCACAAUGGGCGCAAGCCUGAUGCAGCGACGCCGCGUGGGGGAUGACGGCCUUCGGGUUGUAAACUCCGUUCGCUAGGGACGAAGCUUUUUGUGACGGUACCUAGAUAAGAAGCACCGGCUAACUACGUG
rnacentral:rRNA from 1 species